AAAAACUAGACUCGUAGAGCUUUCCAAUGAUAUAAAGCUCAAAUGAAGUUGGUUGUCCAGAAGGGACAUAUUGCUGUUUUUCGCAGAUUUGGCAUUGGUAAAGCUUUAAAGCUUGCCGGUGGCAUGGAGCCUUAUGCUCAGCAACGGGGACGUGUUGAUGAUGAAUGUCCGGUUUUGAGAAGUCUUCAACGUCUUUUACAUGACAGAAAUUGGUUUAAUAGCGUAGGGGGAUCUAAAAAUCAAAAGAUUUCGGUAAUUCCAAGUCAGCAUGACCAGACAUGUUUGUGGAGGGUCGGUAGUGCUAGGCACACUUGAAACCACUAUCUCCUUAAUUUCAGACAAUUCUAAGACAUUACACUGAGCUUGGAUGAGCUUAGUUGACCAAUUGAUGAUGAGAAAUCCGCUAUAAAAUAGAGGAUUUAACCGGAAACAUGUUGGCGAUCCUCCUUGAGGAUGUAAGGCUGUGUGUCAUCUUCACUUGGAAGAGACCAAAUCGGCACAAUCUAACCAUGUAGAUUGUAAAUAUGUCAUGCUUCUAAAGACGAUGUAAAAAUAUACAUCUUUUUUUUGUAAAUCAAUAUGAACUAUAAGAGGAGAAUAGUUACACUUCGAAAAAAUUCUCAAGGCAUUCAUUAUUGUUAAUGUGAGUACAUCGAGGCCUUGAAUAGACGAAGGACAUCGAUACGACGCCUUAUUACAUAUAGCUUGGAAACAAAAUCAGAGUCUAACCGAUGAUGUCAAAGUCAAAGGCAUCUAGUGCUGGAUCCGAAUCUUUGAAAUCCGUGAUCAUGAGGAUGACGUUAUUGUCCUCAUAUUGAUUUUCCGUACCAUUUUGUAUGCAUUCACAAUCUGAGCGAGAGCUUGACAAUCUUGAACCAGUGAUCCGGAGAUCCACAACGGUUGCAUUGUCAUGAGCGGACGUGAGUAGUUUUGACAAUUUGGUGUCUAGACCGGGAGUGUCAUCAUUAGGGCUAGCGGCACCUCCUCCUCUUUUCUAGACAUCGGCGCGGCUUUUUCUGCCAUUGCCGUUACCCAUAUUGUUUUCCCCACACUAGGAAACUAUCCCAUGUGCGUAGGCCAAUACGUUUAUCUUAUUAGCGUAGUAAUUCCCGUUUGCAAUUGUACGAUCAAAAUCAAGCCUCGUCGGUAAUUCCAAGAGAGUAAACUGAAACAUAAACCAACUUGCAAGACCUAGAGAACUUGAUGAUGAUCGAAUCUGCUCAAGAUUAUGGAUCAUGAUGCCACAAAAUAUCAUCGACAAUAUGUAGUGAAAUAAGGUGGUAAGCAAUCCACUUGACUAAUAACUCAACAAGUAGAGUUAUAUGAACGUUUCAAGAAACACUCAAUGAGUGUAUUCCACAGUACUUUGUGGUCAUUACUUUUUGCACAGAUUGUCAUUGAAGGUUGUUGUUGAUGUGGCGCCUCAAAACUUUGAGUGUGAGAGAUGUGUAAUCUCGACAUCUAGGCUUGACAGCCUUGGUUACGGAGUAUAUAGUUAUAAUCUAACUACAUAUCAUGUUGGCAUAAGACCAAGACACAUAUAUGAAAUAUCUUAG
rnacentral:lncRNA from 1 species